UUCUCUCCUCUACUCCAUUGGCAAGGGAGAUGUCUUCGGACCCAAACAGUCUUUGGUCCUAAUCCUGUUGGAUAUCGCUCCAAUGAUGGGAGUCUUAGAGGGUGUUGUCAUGGAGCUCCAAAAUUGCUCUCUUCCUCUUGUCAGCAAUACUUACUCAAGUGAAUCGAUGUUCCCAUCCUCAUCACAUGAUUGUAGUAGCUUCUCAACCAUUGUGUCUGCACCUUCAUUGAG